rnacentral:ncRNA from 1 species
UAAUUUCCGAUGAUUUAGAAAGUAGACUUUAAGUAACCUCAGAGAAACGCUGGUUGGUGAAAAGCGUUGAUUAUAAGAAGUUGAAAAUGGCUAAGGAGGAACUUUUGAUAAUAAAUAAACAAAAGCGGUAUUAUCUAUCGUUAAAAGGAUAUUCGGCAUAGAAGUUUGAAUGUUGAAAGUAAGGUAAAAAAAGGUGGUACCGCGUUGAAUCGCCCUUUUG